GAAAGGUCAAAUCAGGAUGGUAGAGAAGGAGCAUGGCCUCAAGACACAGGGACCACGUGAUAUCCCUGAAAGAGCCUCUUUAGCCACCGCUCUGGUGAAAGGGCUGUUUCACCAAAGGCAGAAGAGGGAGGUGGAGGACACGCAUCUGUUUAAACAGUUCGCCCUCCAGAAAGGGCAAGGGCUUGAAGGGAAGGGAGGGAAGUUGCCCGUGAAGGUGGUGAAAUGCGGAGAGCCUGGGAAGGUGCACACCGCCAAAAGGCCCAAUGUAGGCGGCGAGUAAUCCAGUGUGUUCCUCCCAGCUCAGAGCUGGGAGCCAGGGGCAGCCCCCCUGGGCUCCAGAAAUCGGGGUCACAGCCACCGCAGGGAACACGUGUGAGCUAGACCUGGGCCGUCGGCUCUCUGCGCACACUCAAGAACUGGUGUGAGUUAGGAGCUGGUGUUGGAGUCCCCUUGCUCGUGUGCUGUCACAGUGUCCUGCAGGGAAAGCCUGGCAGGGCGCAGUCCUGGUUGAAGUCCCUGCAAGCCAGUCCCUGGUCUCACACCCGGUGGCUGAUGCAGCGGUGUGGCCGGACACGGCGGAGACGUGCACGCGGGGAGACGCGGAGAAUGUGGACACGCAUCACAAUGGCCCCUUCUAGAACCGGCUCGGCGCUGUGCGGCUCGUGGAGACGCACACAGCACUUGACCUGAACUGCUCCCCAGCUGUCACUGCUUGGGAGGGAGGGCACAACUGCGUCCUUGCUGUGGUGCUGACCGCAAGGACAGCUACAGACGACUGGAGAGUCUGCUCUCCCGGGUCCCAGACAUGGGGUGUUUUGGAGAAGGAGAAAGGGCAGAUCAGGAGGAAGGGUGCGGGUGCAUCACUCUGCCAUCCUUCUUCAAGUGCUGCCGCCCCAGCAGGCAGGAAGGGCACAAGGAGGCAGGCCUGGAGCAGGGAGCCAGCUCCAGGAGGAGCAGCAGCUGCCAA